rnacentral:rRNA from 1 species
GUUAAGCCUGUGAAGGUGAGUUGAGAAGCUUGCUGGAGGUAUCAGAAGUGCGAAUGCUGACAUGAGUAACGACAAUGGGUGUGAAAAACACCCACGCCGAAAGACCAAGGGUUCCUGCGCAACGUUAAUCGACGCAGGGUUAGUCGGUUCCUAAGGCGAGGCUGAAAAGCGUAGUCGAUGGGAAACAGGUUAAUAUUCCUGUACUUCUGGUUACUGCGAUGGAGGGACGGAGAAGGCUAGGCCAGCUUGGCGUUGGUUGUCCAAGUUUAAGGUGGUAGGCUGAAAUCUUAGGUAAAUCCGGGGUUUCAAGGCCGAGAGCUGAUGACGAGUCGUCUUUUAGAUGACGAAGUGGUUGAUGCCAUGCUUCCAAGAAAAGCUUCUAAGCUUCAGGUAACCAGGAACCGUACCCCAAACCGACACAGGUGGUCGGGUAGAGAAUACCAAGGCGCUUGAGAGAACUCGGGUGAAGGAACUAGGCAAAAUGGCACCGUAACUUCGGGAGAAGGUGCGCCGGCUAGGGUGAAGGAUUUACUCCGUAAGCUCUGGCUGGUCGAAGAUACCAGGCCGCUGCGACUGUUUAUUAAAAACACAGCACUCUGCAAACACGAAAGUGGACGUAUAGGGUGUGACGCCUGCCCGGUGCCGGAAGGUUAAUUGAUGGGGUUAGCGCAAGCGAAGCUCUUGAUCGAAGCCCCGGUAAACGGCGGCCGUAACUAUAACGGUCCUAAGGUAGCGAAAUUCCUUGUCGGGUAAGUUCCGACCUGCACGAAUGGCGUAACGAUGGCGGCGCUGUCUCCACCCGAGACUCAGUGAAAUUGAAAUCGCUGUGAAGAUGCAGUGUAUCCGCGGCUAGACGGAAAGACCCCGUGAACCUUUACUGUAGCUUUGCACUGGACUUUGAGCCUGCUUGUGUAGGAUAGGUGGGAGGCUUUGAAGCGUGGACGCCAGUUCGCGUGGAGCCAUCCUUGAAAUACCACCCUGGCAUGCUUGAGGUUCUAACUCUGGUCCGUAAUCCGGAUCGAGGACAGUGUAUGGUGGGCAGUUUGACUGGGGCGGUCUCCUCCUAAAGAGUAACGGAGGAGUACGAAGGUGCGCUCAGACCGGUCGGAAAUCGGUCGCAGAGUAUAAAGGCAAAAGCGCGCUUGACUGCGAGACAGACACGUCGAGCAGGUACGAAAGUAGGUCUUAGUGAUCCGGUGGUUCUGUAUGGAAGGGCCAUCGCUCAACGGAUAAAAGGUACUCCGGGGAUAACAGGCUGAUACCGCCCAAGAGUUCAUAUCGACGGCGGUGUUUGGCACCUCGAUGUCGGCUCAUCACAUCCUGGGGCUGAAGCCGGUCCCAAGGGUAUGGCUGUUCGCCAUUUAAAGUGGUACGCGAGCUGGGUUUAGAACGUCGUGAGACAGUUCGGUCCCUAUCUGC